ACUCCCGCAUGCCCCGCAUCCAUCACACGCCCGCCUGCUGCCGCUGGGUCGCAGACGGGCAGGGAGGCCGGCUCAGUGGGGGCAGCCGCGCUCUCCUGCCCCCCGACCUGCCCCUCUCUGGGGGCGUCUGGGUUCAGCCGCCCAGCAGACGCAAGGUGGGCUCACAUCUCUGUCCCAGCUUUCAGCCAAGCUUCCGGAGGGUCCCAUUUGGACGAGGCACCCCUGUCACAGGCUGUCCGGGACCCCACAGCAGCCCCCAGCCUCCAUGGCCCCGGGCCCAUGGCUCUGACUCCAGGACCCCAGUGUCUGACCUGGGCAGGCUCAGGAAAAGAAACAAAAGACAAACGUGAAGAAAUCCUGGGGAGGAAUGAAGGUGGGAACUGUCCUCUGUGAGCGACCUCCGAUCUCGAAACCUGAGCCAGCUAACCCGUCACUGGUGCGAGGGGCUGAGCAGCCACCUGCCCUGCCACCCACCAGCCUCCCUGCUGGCCCUGGAGGAGGUGGGCUCUGGACCAGCCUGGUCAACCCCCGAGGCUGGCACGCGGUUGGGCACUCUCCCUUGGAACGGACACCAAGCAGCGACAGUUCCCGGGUGUGAGUUAGCUCUCGGGGGAUGCCCGCCAGCCAGUUGACUUGGAGCCUCAAGAUGUGGGGUUUUGGCCCCACUCACCCCCCAACACACCUCCGGGCCUCAAUGUCCCCUUCUUUAAAUGGAGAAGGCUGGUCUCGGUGACCUGGAAGAUACCUGCCGGUCCCACAUGAAAUCCUGUGACCCUAAGGAAGGUGGGCGGGCAGGGAGAUACCCCUGGUUGCCCCAGGAAGUCAUACCUGAGUGGCUUUUAGAUCAUAGGGGUCAACCUUUCUGUCCCCUUUGAAGUAUUUAUCGAGCUCGUGUUUGCGGAGGGCUGACCGCGGGCCAGGAGUUGUCCACGCACUUCUCAGCACUGUCUCACUUAAUGUUCCACAGACCUACCGGGCCCUUGUAUUGUCUCCAGUUUAUAGCUGUGGGAACCCAGGCACAGAGAGGUUAGGCUGUCUGCUUGAGGUCACACAGCUGUCAGCACGCUCCUGCCUGAUCUCCAACCCGGGGCUCCCAGGGAGCUGCAAAGUGCUCCUUUAAGCUUUGGGGCGGGGGGGGUCUCACUGUCAGGAACCGGGGCAGCCUAUCUUAACAUGCAGGCCAGAAGACCUCCCAGAAUCUCAUGAGCCCACCAAGGCCUCCCACAAAACUCCGUGGACACCCAAAACCUAAUGAUAUUUGUAGAAAUCCUUUCCAAAGCAGCUGUUCAAAUAAGGCGCCUCGUUAGUCAAGAAGCUGGCGUGGUCGGGGAACACACAACAGCUGGGUUC
rnacentral:lncRNA from 1 species